CUUAUAUUUUAUUUGACAAAGACAACAGUGUUACCCCUUAUGUUUUUUUUCAUGACGACCAAUAAAAAACAACAGUGUUACCCCUUAUGUUUUUUAUCAUGACGACCAAUAAAAAACAUCAGUGUUACCCCUUAUGUUUUUUUUCAUGACGACCAAAGAAAAACAUCAGUGUUACCCCUUAUGAUUUUUUUCAUGACGACCAAUAAAAAACAACAGUGUUACCCCUUAUGGUUUUUUUCAUGACGACCAAUAAAAAACAACAGUGUGACCCCUGUUUUUUUUCAUGACGACCAAUAAAAAACAACAGUGUUACCCCCUGUGGUUUUUUUCAUGACGACCAAAGAAAAACAACAGUGUUACCCCCUAUGUUUUAUUUGAUAAAUAUCAACAUUGUUACCCCUUAUGUUCAUUUCAUGACGGCUGAUAAAAAAC
ensembl:lncRNA